UACGGAGGGUGCAAGCGUUAAUCGGAAUUACUGGGCGUAAGCGCGCGAGUGUUGAUGUAGCGAGAUGUGAAAGCCCCGGGCUUAACCUGGGAACGGCAUUUCGAACUGUCAGGCUAGAGUAUGGUAGAGGAGUGUGGAAUUUCCUGUGUAGCGGUGAAAUGCGUAGAUAUAGGAAGGAACACCAGUGGCGAAGGCGGCACUCUGGACCAAUACUGACACUGAGGUGCGAAAGCGUGGGGAGCAAACAGGAUUAGAUACCCGCGUA
rnacentral:rRNA from 1 species